CAGCAGCCACGGUAAUACGUAGGGUGCAAGCGUUAAUCGGAAUUACUGGGCGUAAAGCGUGCGCAGGCGGUUAUAUAAGACAGAUGUGAAAUCCCCGGGCUCAACCUGGGAACUGCAUUUGUGACUGUAUAGCUAGAGUACGGCAGAGGGGGAUGGAAUUCCGCGUGUAGCAGUGAAAUGCGUAGAUAUGCGGAGGAACACCGAUGGCGAAGGCAAUCCCCUGGGCCUGUACUGACGCUCAUGCACGAAAGCGUGGGGAGCAAACAGGAUUAGAUACCCGCGUAGUCCCUGUCUCUUAUAA
rnacentral:rRNA from 1 species